GUCUUGCAGAUAUCAGCAAAGAUGCUUGUCCUGAGUGGCUGGAUGCAGAGCCCUUUCACAUUAAAGAGGAAGAGGUGAAGAAAGAGGAAGAACAGCAGGUCCUAUCCAUUAAAAGAGAGGAGGAGCCAAAUUACCCUUGCACGAAAGAUGAUAUCAGCGAAGAUGCUUGUCCUGAGCGGCUGGAUGCAGAGCCCUUUCACGUUUAAGAGGAAGAGGAGUACAAAGAGGAAGAACAGCAGGUCCGAAACAUUAAAAGAAAGGAGGAGCCAGAUUACCCUUGCACGAAAGACGAUAUCAGCGAAGAUGCUUGUCCUGAGCGGCUGGAUGCAGAGCCCUUUCAC